UAGCUAAUACCGGAUAACAAACAGAUGAUGCCUAUCAACUGUUUAAAAGAUGGUUCUGCUAUCACUCUUGGAUGGACCUGCGGUGCAUUAGCUAGUUGGUAGGGUAACGGCCUACCAAGGCGAUGAUGCAUAGCCGAGUUGAGAGACUGAUCGGCCACAUUGGGACUGAGACACGGCCCAAACUCCUACGGGAGGCAGCAGCC
rnacentral:rRNA from 1 species